rnacentral:lncRNA from 1 species
UCAGGAGAUGUUGCUGAAAGUACCCGCAAAGGUGUGGGCAAGCAAUGCUGAGGUGCCGAGAGACUUAGUAGCAGCAGGAAGCUGUGAAUUUCCCUAAGCAGGAGGAGCAUGGAAUGGGGAGGGCAUGGCCAGUGUCCAGUGAGAACAGAGAAUGCUCUAGGGUUCUGGGGCCGGACUUGGAGCUGUGCAGAGACCUGGGAUCUACCAGAGAUGCAGCCCCCAAGUACAUGGGGUAGUGAGGAAGCCCUCUGGUCUCUCUUCUCCCAUUCUUUUACUCUUUUCUUGUUCCUUCCACUGGCCCAAAAAACUGAACGCCAACAGGCAAGGGAUCCCAGGUGAAGCCUCACAGGAGGCUGACCUCCCAGGACUUACAUCAAGGCAGAUGGUGAGUGCCCCCCAAUGGUGAGUGCAUGUGCCAGCCAUGAUAGAUGGGAGUGGGAUGAUCCUCAGGCCCCUGGCAGAGAGUUCAGUUUCUGAGGUCAUCAGAGAAGAUUUGCCAGAGGCUUUCGCUUACCCAAGGGAAGUAAUGUUAAAGGGUCAUGUGUUUUUCUGAAGCAAAGUAUCGCUUUUACAGAGAAAUGGCUGCUACCUAGGGCCAGUGCCUUCACAGUGAGUGCCAAUGUGUUUCACAGUCCAUGCUCACCUCUGGUAAUUUCCAAAAUCUGUCAUCAAAAUGAUCCAGAUCAUGAACUCAGAGAGAAACAACCCAUACUGGCUUGUCUGACCUCCCUGAUAGUCUAUCAACGAGAUUGAUUCUAUCUCAGUCUUACGGAUGCAAUUCUUCAUAUCCAAAAGAUACUGCCAUUUGUAGCACUUGUUCUAAGGCAGCAAAAGCAGCAGGAAGGACCAAUUCUACCUACAGCACAGGAUUCCAGAGAUGUCUUGAUUUUUAUUAAUGUUGGUUUCAAUGGAUGUUCCCCAGGCAUUUGCUACAAUGUGCUCUGAAGAAAUGGAUUGGAAAUAAACAAAUAAAUAAAUAAAUAAAUAAUUCCACAGGAGGAAAAAAAUGCGUUCUGAAAGGAUCAGGAUUUUCAAAGCCCCCAAGCUUCAACAUAUCCGAGGAUCGAAGGCCUGAAUAAAGUGGCAUCACAGAAGUGUGAGAACAGCCUUUCCCCAUUCUCCGGAGUGGAUCCAUGAGCCAGGAGUCAGGCCUGCACUUUGAGGAGCGGAAGUGCUUUUGUGAGGACAAGCAAGAAUGUCUUGUAAUUUCAACUACCCUUAAAGCUGUUUCAGGGUUCCCUGAUAAUGAACUAACUGAUACUGGGACUUCCCUUCUCCAUCCCCCAAAGAAAAGCUGCGUUCCAACUCAACACCUCAUAGAACCAGAGCCCCCUAAUAUCCCUAGGUGUGGGCAGCUGGCAUUCCCCAACAUUCCCCUAACACCCAGCACCUAAGCUAAGAAUGCUUGGGGCCUGAACCCCAAAUGUUUAUUCAGCCAUGUAAAGCCACUUGCACACUUGUCCUAUAAAAAAGGAAAGCAACAGAAUGUUUUUCUCCUCUUGGAGCAGAGCCCCACAGUGAAUCUAGCAAUGCACUGGCUCAAACAUGCCCCCUUUUCAGCAGCAUGCUGAAAGAAAUAGGAUCCAUGCGUCAGCUGGAAUUUCUAUCUCUGAGUUUCUACCUAAACUAAGUGAUACUUUCUGUUAUUCCCAGUCACAUCAAAACAAAUGUGAGAUUCAAAUUUUAAACUGGGCUAUACUGUAACAAAUUAGACUUGACUCUUUUUGUUUUGUUUUGUUUAAAUAACAGAAAGUGACUAGAAAACUAUAGGAUCCACCUAAGAUGCUAAGACAUGGCAAAGUGAGACCAAACAUAGCACAACAAAUAGUUGGAGACAAAAUAAAAGCAUUUUACAUUUGUGCACUACAAUGUUCAGGCUAUUCAACACACUGAUUUCACACAUACAGUCCCAUUUAUUGCCAACAAUAACCCUGCAAAGUAGGUACUAUUAUUGGGCACAUUUUACAUAUAAAACGACUUAAAAUUAGAGGAGGUAGUAUAUAUUUUCCUAAUUUUUGGCAGCCCAGCAUCUAAAGCCCUUUUCUAUGCUUGAAGAAUGCCCUGCCUUAUGAGUGAGUCUUGCUGGAAAGAAGAGACCAGCUUCCAAUAUAAAAACUGAAAAUACCAAAUACUUUUCCCAUAUUCCCUGAUAACUAUCACACUGACAUUAGAAGAGUCUCCACCAACAGAUGUGAGCAUGCCAGUUUUCCCCAGAAUCUAAAGAUACAAAGAAAGAGGAUUUUUGUGGGAAACCACUCUGGUGAAAAUGCCAGUGGAAGUCCUACACUGAACCCGAUUUCCAGUGGCAAGAAUUUUAGUGGCUCCAGCAGCGAUGCCCAGUGCUCCGUGACUAUGGGUUCACAAUGUACACAAACUGGUUGGGCCACUGCAGAUGAAAGAGAUGGCUUCAAGUGCUCAGUUAUGUGUCUUGAUUGGUAAUGUGGCCAUUGGCUGGGUAAUGUCCACACUGCUUCUCUGGCCCUUUUGAAGUGUCUGUUAGCCAUAAUAACUAGAUUUAUUUUCUGAUUAAAUUAGCUAGAAUUAGGUUCUGACUGACUUAGGAUAAGUAAUUGCUCUCUGAUCACACAUAGAGCAAAUGAUGGAGCUGGAAUUCCAGUCUUCACUAGGUUAUACUGAAUGAUGAGAUAAUGUUAUGGGCUGAAUUCAUGUGUUGAAGUCCUCAUCUCCAGAACCUCAGAAUGUCUGUAUUUGGAGAAGAGUUUUUAAUGUUGUAAUUCAGUGAAAGUGAGGUCAGUAGGGUGGCUAUAAUUCAAUAUGACCUGAAUCCUUACGAGAAUGAAAAUCUGGACACAGAAAUCCGUGUGGGAGGCCAUGUGAAGACACGGAGAAAGCAUCCAUCUGUGAGCCAAAGAGAGAGGCCUCAGAAGAAACCACCCCUGCAGACACCUUGUAAUUGGACGUCUAGCCUUCAGAACUGUGAAACAGGAAAUUUCUGUUAUUUAAGCCACCCAGUCUAUGGUACUUUGUUAUGGCAGUCCUAAUAAACUAAUACCAGGAAUGAGGAAUACGAAAGAAUUCAAGAUGAUCUCAAAGUUGCUCAAUGAGGUGACUUUAGAAAAGAUGAAGGGUAUGAGAGGAGUAGCCAUUGCAGAAGGAGAACAAGAUCAUGAAUUCAAUUCAGAAAACUUUGAUUUUGAGACCUCUGCAGGAGAAAAUAAGAGAAAGCUUCAAAGGCCUAGCUUCCUUUAUAGAGUCCUGGGAGAGACCUAAAGUUGAGGAAUAGAGAGAAAAGGCACCUCUGGAUACUCACUGGCAUUGGAUCCAGCUCUGAGUUGCUUGCUUUCUGGGCUUCAGAAUGACAAAGCAGGUUUAUGCACAGAGUUUUUCAAUAAGCAAGUCCCCACUGAAGGUCACAGGCCUAUUUCAGCAGUGGGAGAAACCACAGUCAGCAGUAUUGGGCCAUGCAAGUGAAGGGUUGUUCACUGGAGAGGUUUGUUACCUUAUUGGGAAGAUGAAGUUUUCAUCCAGCAUUAAGCCUAUGGCUAUAAUUCAGGGAUGAGACAAGGGUGUUUGCAUUUGUUAGCAUGAAGACAAACAAAUCCAACACCCUUAGGUCAGAAUUUCAGCUUAACAUGGUAUCUUGUGCUUGAAUAUCCCUUGCAACCUCUCCUGACUUUCCACUUUCCAAAGUGAGUCUUUUAAAAUGCUCACGUUUUGGCUCACACCUGUAAUCCCAGCACUUUGGGAGGCCGAGGCGGGCGGAUCACGAGAUCAGGAGAUCAAGACCACGGUGAAACCCCGUCUCUACUAAAAUACAAAAAAUUAACCGGGCGUGGUGGUGGGCUCCUGUAGUCCCAGCUACUCGGGAGGCUGAGGCAGGAGAAUGACGUGAACCCCGAAGGCGGAGCUUGCAGUGAGCCGAGAUUUCGCCACUGCACUCCAGCCUGGGCGACACUGCGAGACUCCGUCUCAAAAAAAAAAAAAAAAAAAAAAAAAAAAAGGCCACGUUUAUUGGUCUUAUGCCUAUAAAAAAAGUCUAUGUGGACAACCACUCAUUGAUUCAAUAAAUAAUGCUUAAGUGCUUACUCUGUGCCAGGAUUCUGAAAGGCACUGUGGGUAAAUGGUAGGCAAAUCUAAACCUGGUCCUGCCUUCAGAGAGUCUACUGUUUGAACGGAAAAAGAAGAGAAUGAGGCCAAACAAGAGGUUGUUCACCUGAGGAAAUGGAUGGGAGCUGGGCAAGCCUACCUGGCAGAGGCUCACCUGGCUGAGUACCUAUGAAAUUGCCAUGGAUGAUCUCAAAAUUCAAAGAAAAGUCCAGUGCAUAUAAAUAAAAACCUUGAAAACACAAAUUCAUAGGCAAAAGGCUGAGAGGCCACAUAAAUUACUUUUAGUGAAAACAACAAAUAAUAUUAGUAUUAUUUCUGUUUCAGUAUUCAAGGCAGUGGUGAUGGGAACUUGAGGGCAUGAGAAUCAGGGCAAAGAGAAUUACUGAAAGAGUAAAACUAUCUUAAAGAUGUGAGGUUGGCCACUGAUGGAGAGGACAAGCAGGACAGGGAUCGGGGGACCAAAGUCCAGCUGCACUGACUCCAUUCAGCUCUGCUCUGUUCACCCUCAUCCCAAACCUGUCCCCAUCCCCAGACAAAUAGAAGCUGUGGACAAAGAUUGUUUUUGCCCUCCACAUCUCCAAUACUCUGUUUUCAAAUGACUGCAACCAACCCAACAAAAGAACUCACUUAACAUAUUAGUAGUAUCUUAAAUGAUGCAAUUUUAUCUUGUCCAUGAAAUAGCUUCAAUUAAAACAAAUUAUCUCUUUCCAUUCAUAGCUUAAUUCAUAUAGCACAUCUGAUAGAGCCUUUUUAAAUGCUCACUUUUAUUGGUCUUAUUUCAAAAUUAAUUCAUGUUUAUAGUCUAGCAUUUAGAAAAUUCCAAGGCAAAGCAGGCUACAUUUGUGUGUUUCCUCUUGGUGUCUCCAGUGCCCCAUGCCGCCACUGCACAGAGGACAUUAAGCAUUGAACACAGAGAACUAAACCACUUAAGGAACCACCCAUAAUCUCAAUACCAAUAGAUACUUACCCUCACUUUUUUGAUAUGUUUUUUCCAGUCACUUGUGUAUGUAAGCAUACAUACAAAAACAGGUGUGUGUGUGUGUGUAAAAAUGUGUGUUUACAGAGUUCGUUUUACAGGAAAGCACAAAGUCAGAUAGUUGUUAUCGGGCACCUAUGGGAAAUGUCAUAGGAGACUAAAGAUGAGACGAAAACUUUGGGACCACCACUCUUAAUCAUCCUAAUACUUGAUCUUUCCAUGGCUACCCUGAGAUAGAAUAAAUGGCUUUUGUAAAACAACUUAAACCUCAUCUCCUUAAUUGAGGUAUCCUGCUUUCUUACUCUUAUUUACGUGUCUAAGUCAGGGAGAAACAUCCCAUUAUGUCACAAAUAAGAUUAAAGGUAGUUGUAAUUAAAUUUCACCAUGUGCCCUGAGUUUUCCCACCUGAGAAUUAUAAGAAAAAAAUCAAAAGGUCUUCUCCUCUUACUAGACUACCCACCAAAUGGUCAUUACAUUUUCCUGUAGGCUGCAGAUAAAAUCUCUCUAUCAUAAGUCUCCCAAUCACCAAGUGAGAAAACACCACUCUGGGGUCCAGGGAUGUGUAGGCAAUUGAAGAGUUUCUCUUUUAAGAAUGGCAGCUCAUUAGGGUAAGUGUCCAAGAACAUAAUGAAAAAAUUGUGGUAUAUUUAUACUGGGGGAUAUGCCAGAUUAAAAAACGAACACAUUUGAGUUACAGAUAGCAACAUGGAUAAAUCUCUAAUGCAGAAUUUUAAUAAGAAAAAGGCAUAUUGCAGAAUUAUAGGUGCAGUAUAAUACCAUGUAUAUAAAGUUUAAACACAAAAACAUGCUAUAUAUCUUUUAUGGAUAUAUCCUUGUGCAGUAAAAAAUAUAAAAUAUGCAUAAGAAUGACAAAGACAAAUUUUAGAGGAUUUAUUCCCUUAGGGAGAAAAGGAAACGGCAUCACAAGGAUUACAAGAUUUGAAUUGAAUCUACAAUAUUUUAUUCCUUAAGCUGAGUAGCGGGUACAUGGGUGUUCAUAUACUCAAAACCAUUUUUGGCACAUGAAAUAUUUUAAAAUUUUUUAAAAAGCUAGAUAGUAUGAUUGACAUCUUCAGAUACUUGAAGAUCUGGCAUGUUGAUGAUGGAAAGUAUCCUAUGACUAAGUAGGUAAAGCUAUUAUGAAGGCAAAUUUUAGGUCAUUCUUAGGAAAAACCUAAAAGGGCUGUCUAAAAAUGAACAGUGUCUUCUACAUGAUUAAGGAGUAAAACAGAGUUAAGGUCUUCGGAGGUAGCAAGUCACAGUGCAAGUAGAGUUCACUUGUCUUUGUCUUGAAAGCAAAGAUUUCUUUUCUCUUGCAAAAUUCCCGGGACAUAUCCUGAUAAAGCUUUACAUCUCAGCAGCAUCACUCUGAUUGCUCUUUUUUCAGUUGGUGUCAUUGGAAGCCCCUAAACCCUAUUUAACUUCAGUGCCAUUGACUGGCACUUCCUGCCACUUACAUCUUUGCCAUUUGGCAGUGCCUGGGUUGGACAGAUCUGCCACCUGGUUCUGGUUCUGCAUUAUUGUCAUUCCUUGUGCCAGUCAUAAGGAUUCACUGGCACCCCUCUGAGAUUAGGAGUUCUCCAGGUCUGGAGAUAUUAAAAAAGAGAGAGAUGGUCAGCGAUGCUAUAGAAGGGAUUUUAGUAGUCUCUGGUAUGCUGGAGCACAUAACCUUUGAGUAUGGAUUUCCAUAUUCAUUUAUUCAAGAAAUGUUUAGUGAGUGUUUACUUUGUGCAAAGCACCUUGCUCGUUAAGCUUCUAUGGCUCUAGAAUUUGUCUUUGAAAAUGCGUCUCUAACUUUACAGAAAUGAAAAUUGAGACAUGAUGGGAAAACUUAUUUUAAGCAAACAAUAAGGCAGGCAGGCAGGCUGUGGUUUGCAGACCGACCACUUCUAGCCUUAUUGCCAAGAGCACUACGAGAGUCACAGGAACAUUUUGGAGAUAAUGUUACAUUCACAGACUUGUACAUGUCUUACAGUGAAAGACACCCCAGAGGUUAUCCAAUUCAAAUACUUCAUUUUACAGACGAGGAAACAAAAGCCUGGGGAGGUAUGUGGCUAACUGAUUGCAGAAUCUAUUCUCAGAUAUGGUAUUUCCUUCCCAACCUUGAAAGUUGUGUUCCUGAAAACCUCCAUGGAAGGAGAAAUUACACUUGAGGAACUUACGACCUUAGGAAGAAAAUAGAGUUUGGGGAGUAAGAUAGUGAGUGAAUCUGAGAAAGUUAUCAUCAUUGUUUUAUAUCUACUAAUAAAACAAUGUAGGUACCAUUGAUACCCACUUUAUUUUAUGCCGAACGCAUUUGUAAUGGUGAAUCUUGUACAGGUGAUUUUAUUUACUUCUUAGAAUUCCUUAUUAACACUUCUCUAGGCUCUCUAUACACAAUUUUUGUAAAACUUCUUGUGAGUCAUUGCCUUUUUGUGUAAAUACUGGUUACAAUGGAUUGUUUUCUGUUUCAGGUCCUGUUGUCUCUGCCUUUUUGCAUCUUUGACAUUAUCAUUGUAACUUAUAACUUCUAACCUCUACUCUGACUCAACUUGGUUGUUUCCUGAUUCCUCUCUCUCCUUCUUGCUGUUCCUUCUCUCUGCUGUCCUUUAACUGUAGCUGCUCACCAGGACUAUGCUGUAAACUUUCACCUCCUCUCACUGUUUACUCUACCUAUGUAACUAUCAUGUUUGAUAAUGAGGUCCUGCUGAAUAAGCCUGUUUGCUGUCUUUCCAGGCUGUGCUUUCCCACUCCUGCAGCUACUGCCUUAAUUCAGGUUAUCACUGUCUCUCACUAGGACCCCUGCACUAAUCUCCUUGAUUGGUCAAAGGUUUCAUUAUUUGCAUUGUGCUCUGAGUGAAAUUUUCUUAUGACGGCUUACAGUUCCCAGUGGCUGCAUGUGCCUAUAGAACACUAACUUCCUAAGCAUUUCAUCCAAGGCCCUCCACCUUAGCUCUUGUACCCUUUACUCCAGCCAUAUUUAUUGACCCUACUUGAUGGCCUAAUGUACCAGACUAUUUGGCAUCUUCAUGCCUUUGUGAACUGACUUUUCUUCAUCAGGAAUGCCCUUCACUCUGCCCCUCUCACGCUACCCAUUUCCCCUCCCACGUGCAAUCACCUGCCUGGUGAACAUCUACUCUUCCUCGAAAACUUUGCUCAUACCAUCACCUCUCCCUUGGAGGUACCACUUCCUACUCCUACUUUCUGCUCAUCUCGUACCUCAUUAAAGAGAAUAGGAGGUUCCCACCACAAAAUCUGAAAGCCUCCUGCCACAAAACCUGUCUUCUUCCCUCUGUGCAACUGAAUGUGACUCCUUGUAAUCAAAUGCUCAUCCCUCAAUUCAUGUUGGGAAUCCCAUCUCUCUCACUUUCUCAAGAAGUUCAAUGCUUCUGUCAGACUGUCUCCAGUCAAUUAUUCCCAUCAGCAUAUAAACAUAAUCCAGUAUUACUGUCCUAACCAAUACUCCAUAUUGAUCCACAUCCCUUUCCAGCUACCAUUCUUUUCUGUCUUUCACAAUAAAAUUCCAUAAAAUAGUUGUGUACACACAGCACUUUUAUGUUUUCACUUCACAGUCACUUUGGAAUUCACUUCAAAUUGGCAUUCACCCACAUGACCCAGUUGGUCACUAAUGACCUUUAUAGUGCUAUGUCCACAUUUUCAUCUCACUAGAACUUUCAGCAACAUCCAACAAUUGACCAUUCUCUUCUCAAAAUUGGCCAUUCUCUUCUUGAAAUUGUUCUUGGCUUACAUGAUUCCAUAUUUCCCUGGUCUUUUAUCUGCUUCUCUACCUGCUCCUCCUAAGCCUCUGUUGUGUCUUUUCUUCCACUUUCUAUAAUACCUCUAAGUAUUGAAUUUCCUCAGUAUUCUGCUCUGAACCCCAUGCCUUAUGUUUCCAUAAAUAAUCUCAUUCAUCCUCAUGGCUUAAAAUACCAAUUCCAAGCCAAUGACUCCUAUGUCUGUAUCUCUAGUCCUAACCUCUCCUCUGACCUCCUGACUUAUACUCUUGUCUUUAUAACACCCACUUAUGAAUGCUUCAUGGACAUCUCACAUAAAUAUAUCCAAGACUGCAUUUUUAUUUCCCUCUGAAAACCUAGUCCUCCUUCCAUCCUCCCCACCUCCCUUUUUUGGCAACAUUAUCCACGCUGUUGAUCAGGUCUGGAUCCUGGGAGUCACUAAUUAUUUCUCCCUGUAUUUCUUCCUCUAGUCCAAUUCGUCACUAAGUCUGAUCAUCUGUCUCCUAAAUGCAGCAUAAGGAGAUCCACUUUUCUUUAUCGUUACUGCCACAUUGUAGUUUGAUCUACUAUUAUUUUAAACUUAACAACCACAAUACCUUCAAACUGAUCUCCAUGCACACAGAACACAGUGACUCUCAUCCUUAAUUGAAUCUCUACACAGCCACAGAAACAGUCUUUCUUGAAACAUAAAUCCCAGCAUGACACUGCCUGACAUGCAAUCUCUCUUUGCACUUUGUCUUAGUCCAGGUACAUCAGUGUUGCUAUAAGUCCUGUUGGUCAGCCUCCUGCCCCGUACCCUAAGCUCAUCUUACAUCAGCGAGUCCUCACUCUCCACUCUCUAGACUGACUCCUGAUGUUUUCUCAAGCAAGUUGAUUUCUUUCUCAUCUUAAUCCUUCACAGGUGGUACAUAGUGCUUCCCGAGUUUAGAUCUCCACUCUCCCUUAUGUUCUCAUAAAGGAUUCAUAUGUCCUUUAGGUCUUGGCUUAAAUGCCAUCUAUUCAGAGAAGCCUUCCCUGGCGACCUUAUCUGAGUCAAUCUUCCAUUGUUAUAUUGUUAUAUUGAUUUGCUUUGUUUCUUGCUACUUCUUCUACUUGACUCGGUAGAAGGCUCUGCAUAAUUGACCAAAAUAUAUACAGUGUUUUUCAGAGUGCUAGUCACCUAUUAGUACUGAAGAAUUAUUUGUUGAAUAACUUAAUGAUUUUUUUGCAGUUACACGAGUGUUGUUUUGAUUGACUGAAAAUAGAUUGCCUAAGAUGACAUGAAAGAUCAAAGGUGAAGAGUGGAAGAUAGCACCACUUUGGGUUAAAAGUUUACUUAAGUCAGCAACUCCUCAAGAAACAGCUACCAGCAUUCCUGGGACUAUUAUGCCCUGGUCUACUUGUAGCCUGUUUGUAUUCCAGCCUACUUUGGCACCUUGCCGUCUCUGCUUACCGACUUUCUGCAUAAGAGUGAAAUAGAAAGUGACUUGGAACCAUGUAUACCUAAAGUGUGACAUUUAAAAAAACGUCCUCAGAAAAACUAAUAUCCUGGUUAUUUUUGAAUGUGCUAAGAGACUCUUUUUUUUAAUCUUGUUUUUUUAUUUUGAAUAUAGAGCACAUUGAGGUUUAAAAUGGAAAAUUCUAUUAAAAAUAAAAGGCAUACGUUUACAUAUCUUACAAUUACCUCUGCUUCUGUCCCUCCCAUUCCUUAUGAG